GCACUUACCGAGGUCUAGAUCCAGAUCAUCCUGAAGUUUUAUGUGAUGACAGCGCGACAGAAAAGCUGACUCGUUAUGCCGAGGAGGUUAGGAGGAAAGCAGGAGACGAUGAUCUAGAUUGGAGGGAGGCACCUUUCGAUCCGGAUGCAGCAUAUGUUGCUGGUGGUGGGCUACCACAUGGGAGGUUGGGGAUCGGUGAUGGGGUUGUGAGUCGCGAUAGCUUUGGUUGUCGGUCUGUUUCCUCGGUGGGGAGUAGAUCUCGAACUUCAACUUCGAGGGAAUCAGAGCUUGAUGAGCAACUAAGACAGCAACAACAACAAGUUCAAUAACUAUCUCAACAAGUUCAGAUGAUGCAGGGAAUGCUGAUGCAGAUGUAUAGUGCUCAGAUGGGAUCUCCAAUGGGACCCCAGUUCACCCGUCCGUCACAAUCUGGACAGACCCCAAACACCAACGAAACACAGGGUUCUGAGACCGGACAA